rnacentral:rRNA from 1 species
GGAUUAGAUACCCUGGUAGUCCUUGCUGUAAACAAUGUAUACUUGGCGUAGUUGGUCUCAACCCCAGCUGUGCCGUAGCUAACGUGUUAAGUAUACCGCCUGAGGAGUACGCUCGCAAGGGUGAAACUCAAAAGAAUUGACGGGGGCUCGCACAAGCAGUGGAGCAUGUGGUUUAAUUCGAUGCUACGCGAAAAACCUUACCCAGGUUUGACAUGUAACUGACAGCUUCAGAGAUGAAGCUUUCUUCGGACAGUUACACAGGUGCUGCAUGGCUGUCGUCAGCUCGUGCCG